CUAUGUCCUAUCAGCUAGUUGGUGAGGUAAUGGCUCACCAAGGCUAUGACGGGUAUCUGGUUUGAGAGGAUGAUCAGACACACUGGAACUGAGACACGGUCCAGACUCCUACGGGAGGCAGCAGUGAGGAAUAUUGCACAAUGGAGGAAACUCUGAUGCGGCAACGCCGCGUGGAGGAUGACGCAUUUCGGUGUGUAAACUCCUUUUAAGAGGGAAGAUUAUGACGGUACCUCUUGAAUAAGCACCGGCUAACUCCGUGCCAGCAGCCGCGGUAAUACGGAGGGUGCAAGCGUUACUCGGAAUCACUGGGCGUAAAGGGUGCGUAGGCUGACUUUUAAGUCAGGCGUGAAAUCCAAUGGCUUAACCAUUGAACUGCGCUUGAAACUGGGAGUCUAGAGUUCAGAAUGGGCAGAUGGAAUUAGUGGUGUAGGGGUAAAAUCCGUAGAUAUCACUAGGAAUAUCAAAAGCGAAGGCGAUCUGCUGGGAUGAUACUGACGCUGAGCACGAAAGCGUGGGGAGCAAACAGAUUAGAUACCCUGGUAGUCCACGCCCUAAACGAUGAAUGCUAGUCGUCGGGGAGCUCGUCUCUUCAGUGAUGCACUUAACAGAUUAAGCAUUUCCGUCUGGGGAGUACGGUCGCAAGA
rnacentral:rRNA from 1 species